rnacentral:rRNA from 1 species
AUUGAACGCUGGCGGCAUGCCUUACACAUGCAAGUCGAACGGUAACAGGUCUUUCGGGAUGCUGACGAGUGGCGAACGGGUGAGUAAUACAUCGGAACGUGCCUAGUAGUGGGGGAUAACUACUCGAAAGAGUGGCUAAUACCGCAUGAGAUCUAUGGAUGAAAGCAGGGGACCUUCGGGCCUUGCGCUACUAGAGCGGCCGAUGGCAGAUUAGGUAGUUGGUGGGAUAAAAGCUUACCAAGCCUACGAUCUGUAGCUGGUCUGAGAGGCCGAUCAGCCACACUGGGACUGAGACACGGACCAGACUCCUGCGGGAGACAGCAGUGGGGAAUUUUGGACAAUGGGCGCAAGCCUGCUCCAGCAAUGCCGCGUGCAGUAUGAAGGCCGUCGGGUUGUGAACUGCUUUUGUACGGAACGAAAAGUCUUGGGUUAAUACCCUGGGAUCAUGACGGUACCGUAAGGAUAAGCACCGGCUAACUACGUGCCAGCCGCCGCGGUAAAAC